UCUUACGGCUAUUUACACCAGAAAUCACCAAAUCUCAUAAGAUCUUUGAAGUUAAGCUGGUGAUGGCGAUGUAUGUACUGUUGUGGGGGAAAAUUCAGGAAUACGACGUGCUUAAGCC
rnacentral:rRNA from 1 species